rnacentral:rRNA from 1 species
UACAGGGGGUGCAAGCGUUAUUCGGAAUUAUUGGGCGUAAAGAGCGUGUAGGUGGCUCGUUAAGUCUGGUGUGAAAGCCCCGGGCUCAAUCCGGGAAGUGCAUUGGAUACUGGCGAGCUUGAGUGCAGGAGAGGUUGGCGGAAUUCCUGGUGUAGAGGUGAAAUUCGUAGAUAUCAGGAGGAACAACAGAGGCGAAGGCGGCCAACUGGACUGUUACUGACACUAAGGCGCGAAAGCGUGGGGAGCAAACAGG